rnacentral:rRNA from 1 species
CAGGGUACUCGAGUGGCGAACGGGUGAGUAACACGUGGGUGAUCUGCCCUGCACUUCGGGAUAAGCCUGGGAAACUGGGUCUAAUACCGGAUAGGAGCCAUUUUUAGUGUGAUGGUUGGAAAGUUUUUUCGGUGUAGGGUGAGCUCGCGGCCUAUCAGCUUGUUGGUGGGGUAAUGGCCUACCAAGGCGGCGACGGGUAGCCGGCCUGAGAGGGUGGACGGCCACAUUGGGACUGAGAUACGGCCCAG